rnacentral:rRNA from 1 species
AUUGAACGCUGGCGGCAGGCUUAACACAUGCAAGUCGAGCGGGGUGAUGGUGCUUGCACUAUCACUUAGCGGCGGACGGGUGAGUAAUGCUUAGGAAUCUGCCUAUUAGUGGGGGACAACAUCUCGAAAGGGAUGCUAAUACCGCAUACGUCCUACGAGAGAAAGCAGGGGAUCACUUGUGACCUUGCGCUAAUAGAUGAGCCUAAGUCGGAUUAGCUAGUUGGUGAGGUAAAGGCCUACCAAGGCGACGAUCUGUAGCGGGUCUGAGAGGAUGAUCCGCCACACUGGGACUGAGACACGGCCCAGACUCCUACGGGAGGCAGCAGUGGGGAAUAUUGGACAAUGGGGGGAACCCUGAUCCAGCCAUGCCGCGUGUGUGAAGAAGGCCUUAUGGUUGUAAAGCACUUUAAGCGAGGAGGAGGCUCUUUUGGUUAAUACCCAAGAUGAGUGGACGUUACUCGCAGAAUAAGCACCGGCUAACUCUGUGCCAGCAGCCGCGGUAA